rnacentral:lncRNA from 1 species
AGCUAGAAGUAUGUGCCACUGUCUUCUGAUGUACAGAUAAAUGUGGUAAUCUCUUUCAGUUGUCCAGAGUGAUUGGUCAAUAAGAUCAAGCCACUGUGCCAGGCUUAUCCCUUCAGUUCCUCCUCAGCUGGUCAGGCUUGGACAUGGGAUGGACUCGCUGAUCAGGAGAAGAGGCAUGACCCUGUAACACAAGCUAGCCAGAGGCUGGUGGUUAAAAGAGGAAACUAAUGCAAACUGCUUAUCAUUGACGGGCAGGGCACUGCAAUUUAUCAUCCUCCCAGAGUCAAAGCCCUUCUCAGUACAGACGAAUGGGCUGAAGUUUCAUAGCCAGGAUCCUUGGGACACAAGUGUUCAGAAGGAGGCUAUGGCAGAGUUGCUUUCUGAAGAAAGGCAGAAAUGCUGUACCAAACAGGAAUAUCCACUAUUAUAUUCCCAGCAAUCUGGUGGUCAUCAGUGCCUUGCUGAUAAACUGGAAAUCCUCACCUUCUUCUAUCCUCACCUCUCAAAUGACCCAUGA